ensembl:rRNA 5S_rRNA 5S ribosomal RNA
GCCGGCAACCAUAUCACCCUGUAGCCCAAGACUGGUUGCCCACUGAAGCUAAGCAGGGCUGAGCCUGGUCAGUACCUGGAUGGGAGACCUCCUGGGAAAACUAGGUUGCUGCUGGAA